AAGUCGUAACAAGGUCUCCGUAGGUGAACCUGCGGAGGGAUCAUUACACAACAAAAUAUGAAGGCCUGGCUUCGCGGCUGGCUGAAAUAUUUUUUCACCCAUGUCUUUUGCGCACUUGUUGUUUCCUGGGCGGGUUCGCCCGCCACCAGGACCAAACCAUAAACCUUUUUUUUUAUGCAGUUACCAUCAGCGUCAGUAAAAACAAUGUAAUUAAUUACAACUUUCAACAACGGAUCUCUUGGUUCUG
rnacentral:misc_RNA from 1 species